rnacentral:rRNA from 1 species
AGAGUUGAUCAUGGCUCAGAACGAACGCUGGCGGCAUGGAUUAGGCAUGCAAGUCGAACGGGAGCAGCAAUGCUCCAGUGGCGCAAGGGUGAGGAACACGUGAACAACCUGCCUUCGAGUUGGGGAUAGCUUCUGGAAACGGGAGAUAAUACCGAAUAACAUCACCGGAUCGCAUGAUCUGAUGAUCAAAGCAGCAAUGCGCUUGAAGAGGGGUUCGCGUCCCAUUAGCUAGUUGGUGAGGUAACGGCCCACCAAGGCGAUGAUGGGUAGCUGGUCUGAGAGGACGAUCAGCCACAUUGGGACUGAGAUACUGCCCAGACUCCUACGGGAGGCUGCAGUCGAGAAUUUUGGGCAAUGGACGAAAGUCUGAACCCCCAGCAAUGCCGCGUGCGGGAUGAAGGUCUUCGGAUUGUAAACCGCUGUCAAGAGGGACGAAACAUGACGGUACCUCUGGAGGAAGCCACGGCUAACUACGUGCCAGCCGCGGC